AGCAGCCGCGGUAAUUCCAGCUCCAAUAGCGUAUAUUAAAGUUGUUGCAGUUAAAAAGCUCGUAGUUGAAUUUCGGGAUCAGUACGUUGGUCGUGCCUUGGUACGUACUGGUGUAACUGAUUCCUCCCUUCUGACGAACCGUCAUGCCAUUCACUUGGUGUGGCGGGAAAUCAGGACUGUUACUUUGAAAAAUUAGAGUGUUUAAAGCAGGCUCGCGCUUGAAUACAUUAGCAUGGAAUAAUGAAAUAGGACGUUAAUCCUAUUUUGUUGGUUUCUAGGAUCGUCGUAAUGAUUAAUAGGGAUAGUUGGGGGCAUUAGUACUCAAUUGUCAGAGGUGAAAUUCUUGGAUUUAUUGAAGACUAACUACUGCGAAAGCAUUUGCCAAGGAUGUUUUCAUUAAUCAAGAACGAAAGUUAGGGGAUCGAAGACGAUCAGAUACCGUCGUAGUCUUAACCAUAAACUAUGCCGACU
rnacentral:sRNA from 1 species